GAUGAAGAACGUAGCAAAAUGCGAUAAGUAAUGUGAAUUGCAGAAUUCAGUGAAUCAUCGAAUCUUUGAACGCACAUUGCGCCCGCCAGUACUCUGGCGGGAAUGCCUGUCCGAGCGUCAUUUCAACCCUCAGGGCCCUCCAGCAGGGCGCUGGUGUUGGGGAUCGGCAGUCCCAGCGGCUGCCGUCCCUGAAAUGUAGUGGCGGUCCCACCGUGACCUCCCCUGUGCAGUACAUCGCUCGCAGAGGGACAGCGGUGCGGCCACGCCGUAAAACGCCCAACUCUUCAAGGUUGACCUCGGAUCAGGUAGGACUACCCGCUGAACUUAAGCAUAUCAAUAAGCGGAGGA
rnacentral:misc_RNA from 1 species